GAAAAUCUGGUGAAAAUGAAAAAAAAAGAAUUCCCGAAUCCCUCGGAUUUUCUAUCGGGAAAAUCAAUGAUAAUUCGAGUUCCUUAUUGUGCAGGUAAACUCCGCGGUAUAUUUGAUCAGGCGAUUAAGGACACUCGUGGAAAGUAUGAGUACACAUGACGCGCGGAAACGAGGACGCGAUAUUUUGCGUUGGAUAACAUUACCGCGAAAAAUCAAUUCGCGAUGAAAAUACAAUUUUACACAUCUGCACCUCCGGCGAACGAGUAUUAUUUCGAUUGAAUGGGGGGACGAUCUUAAAAGUCCUUUUUCAAAAAUAUGGGUCGACUGUGCUGCAAACCUGUGCAUACUAUUCGCUGAUAUGAUCAGUGACGUUUCACCGCGAUGAGGCGACCGUUUAAUGGAUUUUCCGAGAAGUGCGAUUUAUAGACGCCCACGAUAAUUUCCUUCUCUUUAAUUAACCGGAAAUUACGCAUUCCAACAUACUGUACAUGUCAAUCGGUAUGUACAGUGUAGAGAUAUUCUGAUACACUGAGAGUGAAUUCGUUAAAUACGAAAAUUACAUGUGCGGGACAGCGUUGCGGUAUAAACGUCACGGUACUCCUCAUAAAGUAACAGCUCAGAGUUUUUAUAGGCCUACAAUCCAUUCCACUACCGUGCGAAAUGUACAAAGUACCCGCCUCUGCAAGGUGCCCUUAACGCGGGUCUAAGUGCGCUGUAAAAAACGAAUCGAAAAAACCGAAACGAGCAAGUA